CACUGCUACUGUACUGCCCAGCCCAACACACUGCUACUGCCCAGCCCAACACACUGCUACUGUACUGCCCAGCCCAACACACUGCUACUGUACUGCCCAGCCCAACACACUGCUACUGUACUGCCCAACACACAUUUGCACUAAAGAAAAGCCAUGCAUUAGUGUUUACAGUCCUGUUUACUAAUGAGUCACUGCUGCCUUAUGGAGAAGAAAUCAAAUCUGAUAAUUUGAAUGUUAUUAAAUAAUUUUGAUAAUAUCUGAAUCAAUGAUAGGAAGGUUGUUGUUUUUCGUUGACACAGAUCCCUCCAGAAUCAAUGAUAGGAAGGUUGUUGUUUUUCGUUGACACAGAUCCCUCCAGAAUCAAUGAUUUGUAAUUGAAAAGGGUACAAUAAAAAACAAUAUAUAUAUAUAUAAAUUAGACGAAGGAUCUAUAAAAAUGUGUUGUUUGUUUUGUCUUUGCUUUUCUUUGUAAUGUUUGCAGAUGUCUGAUUUUAAGGGUGUCAAUGAUUCGUUGAUCUGACUGCUGUACAAACAGAGGUGAUUUUUACAUGGACGAUGGUAUUGACAAGUCAGUUAUUCAUUGUUUCUACAGGUUUAUCUUCUUUUGGAGGAGAAAUAUGCACUUAACUCUUUCAAAUGUUUCCUUUUGAUGAACAAUCAUGUUCCUGACACAAUAUCAAUCUGUCUUGAAAUGGGAGGUCAUUUUGUAAUACCUGUUAGUUCAUGUAAAGUGAUGUACUGUGCGCAUCUGCAGUAUAGACUACGUAGACCAGGUGAGAGUCCAAUGACCGGUGUACUGAAAACUAUGCAACGUUACGUUUCAUAUAUGUUGCUGUGAUCUAUUCAAAUAACUACGGAUGAGCCAUAUUCUGCCCUAAUCUAUCCUGCUGACCUUGGUGUAUUAAAUAAGUAAUUCAACACAAACAAUUAAAUCUUUUAAAUAUA